GAAACACAAUAAUUAAUAUGAAUUGCAGAAUUUAGUGAAUUAUCGAGUCUUUAAACGCACAUUACGCCCAUUGGUAUUCCUUUAGACAUAUCUAUUUAAGCGUCAUUACAACCCUCAACUAACCGCUGUUUUGAACCUGAACGGGUAACACCGCACCAGUUUUAAAGUUGUAAGCUCUACUGGUUGCUCUGCCUAACCAAAACAUAGUAAACAUUACUUAUCCGGGUGAAGCUGAACAAUACAACCUGAACAAAACCUACCCACUCUCAAAAUUUAACCUCAGAUUAGACAAAGAUACCCGCUAAACUUAAGC
rnacentral:misc_RNA from 1 species